AUUGAACGCUGGCGGCAGGCUUAACACAUGCAAGUCGAGCGGGGUGAUGGUGCUUGCACUAUCACUUAGCGGCGGACGGGUGAGUAAUGCUUAGGAAUCUGCCUAUUAGUGGGGGACAACAUCUCGAAAGGGAUGCUAAUACCGCAUACGUCCUACGGGAGAAAGCAGGGGAUCACUUGUGACCUUGCGCUAAUAGAUGAGCCUAAGUCGGAUUAGCUAGUUGGUGGGGUAAAGGCCUACCAAGGCGACGAUCUGUAGCGGGUCUGAGAGGAGGCUCCGCCACACGGGGACUGAGACACGGCCCAGACUCCUACGGGGGGCAGCAGUGGGGAAUAUUGGACAAUGGGGGGAACCCUGAUCCAGCCAUGCCGCGUGUGUGAAGAAGGCCUUAUGGUUGUAAAGCACUUUAAGCGAGGAGGAGGCUCUUUUGGUUAAUACCCAAGAUGAGUGGACGUUACUCGCAGAAUAAGCACCGGCUAACUCUGUGCCAGCCGCCGCCGUAA
rnacentral:rRNA from 1 species